rnacentral:rRNA from 1 species
GACGAAGGGGGCUAGCGUUGUUCGGAAUUACUGGGCGUAAAGCGCGUGUAGGCGGUUUUCCAAGUUGGGUGUGAAAGCCUUGGGCUUAACCCAAGAAAUGCACUCAGUACUGGAAGACUAGAGGACCGGAGAGGAUAGUGGAAUUCCCAGUGUAGUGGUGAAAUACGUAGAGAUUGGGAAGAACACCAGUGGCGGAGGCGGCUUUCUGGACCGACACUGACGCUGAGGCGCG